rnacentral:rRNA from 1 species
GCGUUGUCCGGAUUUAUUGGGCGUAAAGCGCGCGUAGGCGGUUAUCCACGUCGGAUGUGAAAGCUCGGGGCUCAACCCUGAGAGGCCAUUCGAUACGAGAUGACUAGAGGCAGGUAGGGGAGAGUGGAAUUCCUGGUGUAGCGGUGAAAUGCGCAGAUAUCAGGAGGAACACCGGUGGCGAAGGCGGCCUUCUGGCUCGCAACUGACGCUGUAGCGCGAAAGCGUG